UCCACGUCGGCAUAAAAAAGACAUCCGUCCGAUCUGCACACAGGUUGUUCAGAACCGUCGGAUCUGGUUCGGCACCUAUGGUUUCGUGAGAGUUCCAGCUUGGUCCCCAACUCGUUCGCCUCCCAGAUUCCCCACAUCGACAUCCGCCUCCACCCGUGCACCACCUCCACUCACUGUCCGUCGUCUCCGCCGCCGCCGGGUUCCCGCUCCACCACCAGGCGGACCCAGAUCUCGCUACCCCGCAGCUCAACUUUGCCUCCACUGGCGAGGACGAGGGCGGCUACGCGGCGGCCGGGAGCUCAACCUCCGCCACCGCAUUCCCUUCCAGGUGGCCCCCCUAGCGGAGUCAAACGCCCCUUUACGGUCUUGCGUUGCCUGAAUCGAAUCUGGUGAUGCGUAGCCAGCUCCGAUGCGACCCGUACAGUCAAUGGGAGGAAGUUCCAUAUGGGCUCGGAGAAGCUGGCGGCAGCGACGGUGGCGAGACGUGGGUGUCGUCCAUGGAAUUGCCACGUAGACGUUCGCGAAGCGCUUCACCUUGCCGGUUUCCAAGGCGAUGGUGCGGCCCGAUCUCGAGCUCAACGCAGAAGCUCUUUAGCACCUCCCGACCUGUUGAGAUUUUUCUAUUGGCUGCAACUUGCAAGGAUAAUUGAGACAUGAGACAACGAUGGCCUUUUGAUGACGCUAAACCAUUUUGAAAGUGAUAAGAGGCUUGCUUUUCUUAUGCUCCUCUGCCUCAAUUCUGAAUUAGGAGAAAUUGGGGAAUGAGCCGUCGUACAAGCAGCUGGCACAAUCGCUACAGAUUUCAGCUCUGCAAGCGAGGAUGCGCGAGUCUUUUCUCACGAGGGAAAUGCUAACAAUGAGCAACAACCGUUUGGUCAUAUCCAUUGCCCAGAAGUAUGACAACCUCGAUGUCGAGUUUGCAGACCUUAUUCAGGGUGGUCUGAUAGGGCUACUCCGUGGGAUCGAAAAGUUUGAUGUGUCAAGGCGCUUUAGGAUUUCCACUUAUGUAUACUGGUGGAUUCGUCAGGU